UUUUAUUCGCAAUUUAUUUUAUUAUUUUUCACAAUUACAAAAUGUAUCGGUAUUGUCUCUUUCAAAAUAUUUUUAAAAACUCGCUACAUCGUCUUCUAGGUUAUAACAACAACUAUCCUCUUCCACUGUCUAUAAAAGAAUCAUAUAAAUUGAUAUUGUUACUAAAACGAAGCUUCACUCUUCGACGUUAUUAUUAAUAACAGCCUAUAAAAUACGAUAUCACAAAUUUAUCACAAUAUUAAAGGUAAAAAUAUAACCUGAUAAACUGUAAAAACGCGUAUGACACAACGUAAUAGAAGAAAAAAUUUAUCAUAUCGUAUUAUGUAUUGUAAACUCCUUAGAUUUAAAUUCCCUAGUCUCUAUCCUAGAAAUUAGUUUUCACGAGUAUAUCGGUAAAUUAGGAAGUGGAUUAUCAUUAUAUUUUCAAUUCCGCCCACUUGUAAUUUUAGGUUAUGGGUACGUACUAACAACAUUGUCUAUAACUCAAAGCACGCAUGCUCGUUUCGACGUAUUCGGAUAAUAAUGUUAGUGGAAGCUUGUGGCCUACUACGUGUGUGAAAAGGGAAACUGUUGCGCGAACAGAGACUUCGUAUAAAGGCCUCGAUAUCAUCGUCCAAGUAUCGACUCGAAUGUGCAGCUAUGUGGAAACCAGCCUUUCGGAUAUGCGCUAAUUUGUCAAAAAAAAAAAAAAGUAGUAACUCUUUUACAACAAUUAAUUCGAAAAUGAAGCGAAUAAGGAUCUGAAUUUCCUUGAUUCACAAUUCUUCUACAUUCUCGUUAUUAUUUAUGGUUGGGAUCGCGAUAUAUUCAGAGUAUCUCUUGAGAAAGGAAAAAUAUAACUUUAAUACUGAUUCAUGCUACGAGG